ensembl:lncRNA
CAAAACAAAAUCUAAUCAAGCAUGACAGAAAUACAAAUCAAGCUACAACCUAACCAAAUAGGGCUGACCUCUUGGUUGUCUUCUUCUUCCACCUCGUCCUCAUCCUCGGUUUCUGUCUCCUUCUCCUCCUCCUCUUCCUCCUCCUCGUCCACGUCAAGAGAGAUUAGCUUCUCCUCUUUCUUCACGUCUAGAGAGAUGAGCUGCUUCUCAGCUGGCUCAUCUUUUAUCUCCUCCACCCAUUCUCUCUCCUGCAAAGGUGGUGUACUCGGACACUGCUCUGGUUUUUCUAUUUUGUCUUCCUCGGCUUUCUCAGUUUUGACAUCCACAGGCACCAGUCCCUUCGCUUCCUCUUUAUCCAGAAAGUCAUCCCAACUAUGGAAAACCGGACGGUUUUCUGUUUUACGCCGUGACGUCACUUUUAUCGGUUUGACUGAAAAAUCAUCAAAUUCUAUGUCGAUCGGAUUCUGUUUGACCGAGAAGUCAUCAUAAACCACAUUCAUCAGAUUCUCUGUGGGCCCAGAGGUGUUUGGUGAGGGGGAAAGUGGUGACUUUGACUCCUGAGGCCAAUCUUCAGCUUCAAAACUGAUUAGAUUUGACUCUGCUUUGUGCAUCAAACUCUUCUCUUGCAUGUUGUUCAACCCGGAUUGUUUUGUUUCUCUCUCUUCCUCCAGUCUUUGCUUUUCUUUGAGUUGGUUUGCCUGCCUUCUUUCCAGUUCCUCUUGCAUUUUUCUCUCCUGCUCCUGCUUCUCUAUUCUUUCUUUUUCAAUCUGCCUCCUUCUUUCCUCUUCCCUUCUCUCCUCUUCUUUCUGUUUUUCUAACAGCCUCUGCCUCUCCAUCUCUGCCUCUUUUUCCUUCUGUAUUUUCAUCUCCAGCUCCAUUUUUUCUUUCUCAAUCUGCCUCCUUCUUUCCUCUUCCCUUCUCUCCUCUUCUUUCUGUUUUUCUAACAGCCUCUGCCUCUCCAUCUCUUCCUCCUUUUCCUUCUGUAAUUUCAUCUCCAGCUCCAUUCUUUCUUUCUCAAUCUGCCUCCUUCUUUCCUCUUCCCUUCUCUCCUCUUCUUUCUGUUUUUCUAACAGCCUCUUCCUCUCCAUCUCUUCCUCUUUUUCCUUCUGUAUUUUCAUCUCCAGCUCCAUUCUUUCUUUUUCAAUCUGCCUCCUUCUUUCCUCUUCCCUUCUCUCCUCUUCUUUCUGUUUUUCUAACAGCCUCUUCCUCUCCAUCUCUUCCUCUUUUUCCUUCUGUAUUUUCAUCUCCAGCUCCAUUUUUUCUUUCUCAAUCUGCCUCCUUCUUUCCUCUUCCCUUCUCUCCUCUUCUUUCUGUUUUUCUAACAGCCUCUGCCUCUCCAUCUCUUCCUCCUUUUCCUUCUGUAUUUUCAUCUCCAGCUCCAUUUUUUCUUUUUCAAUCUGCCUCCUGCUUUCCUCUUCCUUUCUCUCCUCUUCUUUCUGUUUUUCUAAUAGCCUCUUCCUCUCCAUCUCUGCCUCUUUUUCCUGCUGUAUUUUCCUCUCCUGUUCCCUUCUUUUUCUCUCUUCAUCCUCCUGUCUCAGUCUUUCCCUCAACAACUCUUCCUGCUUCCUGCGAAUAGCCUUCUGCUUUUCCUCAGCCUCUGCCUUUAAUCGUUCUUUCUCUCUCUGUUCUUCUCUGAGUCUUUCCUCUAUCUGUCUUGCCUUCUCUCUUUCCUCCUCUUCCUGUUUCAGCUUCAGCUCUUUCUCUCUCUCUUGCGCUUCUUUUAGUCUCUGUCUUUCUCUUUCCUCCCUCAGUCUCUCCUCUUCCUUUAGCCUCUCCCUUUCCCUCUCCUCCAUCUCUUGUUUAAUUUGCUCCUCUUUCUGCCUUGCCCUCUCCUCUUCCUUAAGCCUGAGCUCUUCCCUCUGUCUUUCCCUUUCUUUUUCCUUCUCUUCUUCCACUCUUUUCUGCUCCUGUUCUAGCUGAAGCCUUGCUUGUUCCUUCUCCUCUGCUCGCCGCCGUUCUUCAAAUUCCAGAUGUUUCUUUCUUUCUUCUUCUUGCCGUUGACUCUCAUCAUAAUUUUUCUGAAAAAUUCCUACUCUUUUAUAGACAGGCACUACAUCAGGGACUUCCUUUUCAGCUGUAAAUCCAGGACUCUCCUCCUCCUCUUCUUCUUCUUCUUCUACUUCGUCUUCUUCUUCUUCUUCUUCUUCUUCUUCAGUGUCAGAAUCAGAAUCCGAGCCUAGGAUCAGUGGAGGCCCACCAUCAUCGCUCUGCACGGUGCCAAAGCGAACAGAGCGACGUUUGACAUUGUUCUCCUUUGGUACGUCUUCACUCAGGUUAGGGGUGCGCAACUGGACGUCAACCUCCGUUGAUUUGUUCGCCUCUUGUGGGCUCUCUGCAGCACUUUCUGAUGAUUUCUUUUCAGUUUGAACACGUUUUAGCAUUUCUGUUGGGGACUUUGUUGGUUGUUCAACAGGUGAGACCUUUGACGGGGGGUCCACAGUCGGACUCUGCGGCAUUUCUUCGGCAGAAAGUCUGAGAUUUGAAGUUUUUGGUGUUUUCACUGCUGUUGGAGAAGUUGCAGGCUCAAAG